rnacentral:rRNA from 1 species
CCUACGGGUGGCUGCAGUGGGGAAUCUUGGACAAUGGGGGAAACCCUGAUCCAGCGACGCCGCGUGAGUGCAUAAGUAUUUCGGUACGUAAAGCUCUAUCCGCAGGAAAGAAAAUGACGGUACCUGACUAAGAAGCCCCGGCUACCUACGUGCCAGCAGCCGCGGUAAUACGUAGGGGGCAAGCGUUAUCCGGAUUUACUGGGUGUAAAGGGAGCGUAGACGGCUGCGCAAGUCGUGAGUGAAAUGCCGGGGCCCAACCCCGGAACUGCUCUGGAAACUGUGAAGCUGGAGUGCAGGAGAGGUAAGCGGAAUUCCUGGUGUAGCGGUGAAAUGCGUAGAUAUCAGGAGGAACACCGGGGGCGAAGGCGGCUUACUGGACAGUAACUGACGUUGAGGCUCGAAGGCGUGGGGAGCAAACAGGAUUAGAUACCCUUGUAGUC